rnacentral:rRNA from 1 species
AACGAACGCUGGCGGCAGGCUUAACACCUGCAAGUCGAGCGCCCCGCAAGGGGAGCGGCAGACGGGUGAGUAACGCGUGGGAAUCUACCCAUCUCUACGGAAUAACGCAUGGAAACGUGUGCUAAUACCGUAUACGUCCUUCGGGAGAAAGAUUUAUCGGAGAUGGAUGAGCUCGCGUUGGAUUAGCUAGUUGGUGGGGUAAAGGCCUACCAAGGCGACGAUCCAUAGCUGGUCUGAGAGGAUGAUCAGCCACACUGGGACUGAGACACGGCCCAGACUCCUACGGGAGGCAGCAGUGGGGAAUAUUGGACAAUGGGCGCAAGCCUGAUCCAGCCAUGCCGCGUGAGUGAUGAAGGCCCUAGGGUUGUAAAGCUCUUUCACCGGUGAAGAUAAUGACGGUAACCGGAGAAGAAGCCCCGGCUAACUUCGUGCCAGCAGCCGCGGUAACAC